rnacentral:misc_RNA from 1 species
UCAAACUUGGUCAUUUAGAGGAAGUAAAAGUCGUAACAAGGUUUCCGUAGGUGAACCUGCGGAAGGAUCAUUACCAAGGGUUUCCCUUACAAACCCAUCAAUCCACCGUGUGCACUUAUCAAAUCCCUCAGUCCAAGGGUUUACCCUCGGGCAGAGGGACCAUUUUCUAGCCUGAAAAUCUGUCUGACCAAUUGUUAAAAUGUACAUACAACUUUCAACAACGGAUCUCUUGGCUCUCGCAUCGAUGAAGAACGCAGC